rnacentral:lncRNA from 1 species
UUGGAGUUUAAGUGGAAAUGCUAUCAGCAGCCAGACCCUUGAUCAACACUGACAGCUUUCUAGAUAAGCUCCCUUCUGGUUCUCAGGCUCCCCGGGGGUUUCAUGCCUCCCUGGCAUGGGUGUGGUUUUCGCUCAACUGUGCCACAGUUGCUCGUGCCAGGAUGCCAGAAAAUGCUGAUUAAAUAUAAUCAAGAAGAAGAUAAGCAGUAUGUGUCACGCAGUCCCCAAGGAGGAGACCAGACAUGGCAGAUAAUGCGAAGGAACUAAACUAAAGCAACGGAGGAAAGGGAAUGACUGGAUCAGAAAUAAUUAUUAACAGACACGUUAGGUGCCAGUGUACGCCAGGCACUCUUGUUAAUGCUGGUAAGUACACUUCUAUUUUUAGUUUAAGUUCAUGGUUGAGGAGCUACUAUC